CUCCCCUCUCCCCAGGCCUAUCCUAUUGAUCAGGCCCCCUGCACGUGGGUCCCCCCUGCUCCAGCAGCUGCCUCAUUGGCCUCUCUCAGCGCCUGCUCCAGCGCAUUAGAAUAUAAAUCCAUAACCGGGGCUGUGCUCACCCAAGCAGUGGAACAAACCAAAUGAAAUGCUAUAAAGCAAUCUCAGUCACCAGGAGCCGCUACCCAUUCAUCCUGAUCUCAGAAUGUCACACCAGCUCACCAUCUCUCUGUUUCUCUCACCAUCUCUCAGUUUCUCUCACUAUCUCUCACCAUCUCUCUUUUCUCUCACUAUCUCUCACCAUCUCUCUUUUCUCUCACUAUCUCUCUGUUUCUCUCACCAUCUCUCACCAUCUCUCUGUUUCCCUCACCAUCUCUCUCUUUCUCUCACCAUCUCUCACCAUCUCUCUGUUUCUCUCACUAUCUCUCACCAUCUCUCUUUUCUCUCACCAUCUCUCUGUUUCUCUCACCAUCUCUCUGUUUCUCUCACCAUCUCUCACCAUCUCUCUUUUCUCUCACCAUCUCUCUUUUCUCUCACUAUCUCUCUGUUUCUCUCUCCAUCUCUCACCAUCUCUCUGUUUCUCUCACCAUCUCUCACAUCUCUCUGUUUCUCUCACUUUCUCUCUGUUUCUCUCACCAUCUCUCUUUUCUCUCACCAUCUCUCUGUUUCUCUCACCAUCUCUCACCAUCUCUCUGUUUCUCUCACUAUCUAUCUCUCACCAUCUCUCUUUUCUCUCACUAUCUCUCUGUUUCUCUCACCAUCUCUCACCAUCUCUCUGUUUCUCUCACCAUCUCUCUGUUUCUCUCACUUUCUCUCUGUUUCUCUCACCAUCUCUCUCUCACCAUCUCUCACCAUCUCUCUCUUUCUCUCACCUUCUCUCACCAUUUUCCUCCUUCUCUCAACAUCUCUCUGUUUCUCUCACCAUCUCUGUUUCUCUCACCAUCUCUGUUUCUCUCACCAUCUCUCUGUUUCUCUCACCAUCUCUCACCAUCUCUCUGUUUCUCUCACCAUCUCUCUGUUUCCCUCACCAUCUCUCACCAUCUCUCUGUUUCUCUCACCAUCUCUCUGUUUCUCUCACAAUCUCUCUCUUUCUCUCACCUUCUCUCACCUCUCUGUUUCUCUCACCAUCUCUCUCUCACCAUCUCUCUCUUUCUCUCACCUUCUCUCACCAUUUUCCUCCUUCUCUCACCAUCUCUCUGUUUCUCUCACCAUCUCUCUGUUUCUCUCUCCAUCUCUCUUUUUCUCUCACCAUCUCUCUUUUUCUCUCUGUUUCUCUCUCCAUCUCUCUGUUUCUCUCUCCAUCUCUUUUUCUCUCACCAUCUCUCUGUUUCUCUCAUCAUCGCUCUGUUUCUCUCACCAUCUCUGUUUCUCACCAUCUCUCUGUUUCACUCUCCAUCUCUCACCAUCUCUUACCAUCUCUCUCCAUCUCUCCUUCACUCACCUUCUCUUACCAUCUCUCUCAACAUCUCUCUCUUUUUCUCACCAUCUCUCACCAUCUCUCUUCCUGUCCUGCUCUUUUUCACUAAUGAUCCCUCCUUACACACACACACCUUUACUCCUGCUUUCUCUCUCUCUCCAUCCAUCCAUCCCUCUCCAUCCCUCCCUCUUCUCUCUCCAUCCCUCUACC
rnacentral:lncRNA from 8 species